UCGAUUUGGAGUUUGUUGCCUAGAGUGAUGGGCUCCGAAGCUAACGCGAUAAAUCGACCGCCUGGGGAGUACGGCCGCAAGGUUAAAACUCAAAUGAAUUGACGGGGGCCCGCACAAGCGGUGGAGCAUGUGGUUUAAUUCGAUGCAACGCGAAGAACCUUACCUGGUCUUGACAUCCACAGAAUCUUUCAGAGAUGAGGGAGUGCCUUCGGGAACUGUGAGACAGGUGCUGCAUGGCUGUCGUCAGCUCGUGUUGUGAAAUGUUGGGUUAAGUCCCGCAACGAGCGCAACCCUUAUCCUUUGUUGCCAGCGAUUAGGUCGGGAACUCAAAGGAGACUGCCGUUGAUAAAACGGAGGAAGGUGGGGACGACGUCAAGUCAUCAUGGCCCUUACGACCAGGGCUACACACGUGCUACAAUGGCGUAUACAAAGGGAAGCGAAGGUGCGAGCUGGAGCGGACCUCCUAAGGUACGUCUAAGUCCGGAUUGGAGUCUGCAACUCGACUCCAUGAAGUCGGAAUCACUAGUAAUCGUGAAUCAGAAUGUCACGGUGAAUACGUUCCCGGGCCU
rnacentral:rRNA from 1 species